rnacentral:lncRNA from 1 species
CACCGCCGCACCUGCGGGCUCUCGCCCCGGCGUCUGCGGGACCCGAGGGCUCUGAGCGCGCUGCCGCCCUCCCGCGCCGCCCUCGCACACGCAGAUCCCACUUUUAAAGAAUCCGAAGCGGUGCAGCCCAUCGACACCGAGCGCAGCCGGUUGUGCUUGUUCUCUCCCCGUCUGCAGUUGAGCCCGGACCCUGGAAUAGAAAGACAGUUCUCCGUUGGACUGGCAGAAAGGGAAGGCAGACUCCUCGGUUCCCGAGGAGAGCGGAGCGGCUGCUCUAGUGAAGAAAUGAAGAAUCAAAGAAGUAAAGGAUCUAUUUCAAAAUCACAUAACUAAAUUAUCACCUGGAAGAGAAAGCAGAUAUUUUAUAGAAGAAAGAACAAGGAAGAACAACAGAAAUUCCUAAGCAAAGGAGAAUUCUAGAGAGAGAACUUAUUUCAAGUAUUUUAUGAGGGCAGUCUUGAGGAGUUUUGAACUUUUCAUCCCCCAGUCACCACUCCCCUUCAGGGAAGGCUCUUCCUUGCUUGAAAUAAAAGACAAGCAGUUCCUGGCCUGUGAACCCUGAGUGAUGUGCCUGUCAGUAUGCUGGCGCCAGUGCUGAGGGACAUCAUGGGUUUUGGCUCCAGGUGAGUUGAGUAUAUUCAAUAUGGCCAUUUCACUAUGAUUCAAUAUUGCUUCUCUCCAUCAUUAUCCUACAGAAUUCAUACUGAAGUUUCACUGAUAGGAAAUUACUAUGUAUGUUUAUCUUAUUGAUUGUUAAAUAAAAUACUGUUUGGCCAAUGAGACAGCAAGUUAGACUGGACUAAGAGUCAAAGAGGAUUCUGGGAAAUGUAGUAGAGAAGUGGUGGUCCAGGCAGGAAGUGACAUAGCAAGGAGGUUCAUAUUUAAGCGAAGGAGAAAUUUUUCCUUCUUUCCCUUCGCCUCCUCCAGCGGCAGGAUGUGAUUCACCGGCAAGGGAGGAGGCCAAUAAGGCAUCCGAUAAGAUAAGUCUUAUAAAAUAUAUAGGAUUAUGAUAAUUAAGACUGAGCUAGCAGAUGAGAAUCCUAAACAUUGGCCAAGUAGCUUUGAGCCUAAUACAAGUUUCUGUGUAUUCAUUUGGGCCUAACUCGGGCGGGCAGCGUGCGUAAAGCUCACACGUGGCGGUGGGGCUCAGGCGGUUUUGGAAGAAAGAUUUAUAGUAACAUUUCACAAGCACAUAUUAAUAUUGAAACACUUUGUUUCUCAACCAGACCAGGGGAUAGCUCUGACUCUUUUGCCUGCAGUUGGGAACCUUUUUCUCCUACUGGGUUGCAAUGUCCAGUGCCAUGAUAUGAGGAUUUGUGCCCGGUAUUAUUGUAUCUUGUUAGGCCAUGUUCAGUGGUUAUCCCAGGGUGGCCUGUUAUUUCUUU